UACAGAGGUGGCAAGCGUUGUUCGGAAUUACUGGGCGUAAAGGGCGCGUAGGCGGCCUUCUAAGUCAGACGUGAAAUCCCCCGGCUUAACCUGGGAACUGCGUCUGAUACUGGGAGGCUUGAGUAUGGGAGAGGGAUGUAGGAUUCCAGGUGUAGCGGUGAAGUGCGUAGAUAUCUGGAGGAAUACCGGUGGCGAAGGCGGCAUCCUGGACCAUUACUGACGCUGAGGCGCGAAAGCUAGGGGAGCAAACGGG
rnacentral:rRNA from 1 species